rnacentral:rRNA from 1 species
UAACGGAUUAUCUUUAUAGCUUGCUAUGGGAGCAAUUAGUGGCAGACGGGUGAGUAACGCAUAGGAAUCUACCUAGUAGUAUAGGAUAGCCACUAGAAGUGGUGGGUAAUACUGUAUAAGCCCUGCGGGGGAAAGAUUUAUCGCUAUUUGAUGAGCCUAUGUUAGAUUAGCUAGUUGGUGGGGUAAAGGCCCACCAAGGCGGUGAUCUAUAGCUGGUCUGAGAGGAUGAUCAGCCACACUGGAACUGAGACACGGUCCAGACUCCUACGGGAGGCAGCAGUGGGGAAUAUUGGACAAUGGGCGCAAGCCUGAUCCAGCUAUGCCGCGUGAGUGAGGAAGGCCUUAGGGUUGUAAAACUCUUUCAGUGGGGAAGAUAAUGACGGUACCCACAGAAGAAGUCCCGGCAAACUCCGUGCCAGCAGCCGCGGUAAUACGGAGGGGGCAAGCGUUGUUCGGAAUUAUUGGGCGUAAAGGGCAUGUAGGUGGUUUGGUUAGUUAAAGGUGAAAUGCCAGGGCUUAACCCUGGAGCUGCUU